GUGAUGAUGCGUUGGCACAGGCAACAUGUGGAGUCCUGGAGGUGUUCCAGAACCAUGGAGAUGUGGCAGCUGGGGACAUGCCCGAUGCAAAGCUUUUGUCCAGCAGUUACAGAGAACAGACCAAACUGCAGAGAAACAGCAGCACAAUACUGCUACGGGUCUUUCUUCUACGUGGUCCUAGAAGAUGCUACAGAUCUGACCAUCCUCUGUUAAACACAACACAAACAAGUGAGGAGACCCAAGGGGCUGCGAGAGGGAAGAGGCACAGAAUGGUGUGGGCCCAUUUGUGUGCUUGCAAAAAGAGGCAGCUGCAAAAAUUUCCUACCCAGAAGGCAGCAGACGAGGCGCCCAGUGCCCACAUGCAGUCUCCGUGUUCCUCCUCCUCUUCUGCACCAAGAGUGAAUCGGAUGCUCAGGUGUUGACAAAAAGCUACCAGCACAAAGCAAGGUUAAAAAAGCAAUAACU